rnacentral:ncRNA from 1 species
AUUUUUCAGUGUGCUAUCAAGCGGUUUAAUAAACAGACUGUUAUUACGCAGCGUCACUUCGCCUUUCGCUGUAACCAGUUCGCCGUUCAGUGGGAUAUCGAGAUGUAAGCGAGCAUUCACAUCGCCAUCGAGCUGGAGUUCCUGCAAAGUAGCGCCCAGUGAGUCUUUCAGCGGCGUUUCAUCAAAAUAUGGACCGACAGCUUUACCUGGGCCUUUAAUGUCAGCAUCGAUCAGUAACUUCUCUUUCGCGUAAUCAGGGAUUACUGCGGUGAGAUUACUGGCGCGCACACCGCCAAGAUUGACGCCAUCGGUUUUCAUCCAUAAACCGUCGUUAAUAAAGUCCAGUUCAAUAUUGAGGUUGGUCAGCGCUGGCCAGUCUGGCUGGAACGCAAACUUCGCGU